AAUUUGAAAUAUAGGCAAAUCUUUGUGGGCACAAAAAAAACCCAAAGUGAUCCAGAUGCUCCAGGUGGAGAACCAGUUAUGCAGAAAAUGGAACUUGUACUGGCUUCAUGCCGAGAGAGGAGACUUUUGGUGGUAGGUUUAUGUAUGUCUGCUCGACAUGCUAGCUGCUUGUGACCUAGCACUAUUGUCAUGGGCAAGCUGUUACUUUGGAUCGAAAUUUUGAGCUUAUUUUAAAAUUUGUGACGAAGUUUGACUUGGUGUUUAUAAGUUGGAAGUGAUGUGAUGUACAAUUUGGUUGGAUACAAACAAAAAUUUCUGAGGGUCAAUGCACAAUCAUCGGAGUAUAUGUAAUAAAUUUGUAUUUGUUGAUGGCAUAUGGAUGAUCACAGAAUGCAUUCUCUUCAUAUUUGAAACUUACUUUUAAAUUAUUGAGCAAUGAGUUUAUCAUUUU